UACGUAGGGUGCGAGCGUUAAUCGGAAUUACUGGGCGUAAAGCGUGCGCAGGCGGUUUUGUAAGUCUGACGUGAAAGCCCCGGGCUCAACCUGGGAAUUGCGUUGGAGACUGCAAGGCUUGAAUCUGGCAGAGGGGGGUAGAAUUCCACGUGUAGCAGUGAAAUGCGUAGAGAUGUGGAGGAACACCGAUGGCGAAGGCAGCCCCCUGGGUCAAGAUUGACGCUCAUGCACGAAAGCGUGGGGAGCAAACAGG
rnacentral:rRNA from 1 species